UGCUAUUUUCCCCGCCCCUUCUCCACUUGUACUCUCUCCCCGCCACCAAAAUAGAGGAGCCGCCUCCAUUUCUUACUCCUUUCUCUUCAAAUCUGAUUUCUUCGUCGGUACAUUUCUCAAUUUCCAGAUCCAAUAGUCAAACAUCAGUCUCUCAUUCCGCUUAUUUUAAUCGGAAAUGGGUUUAUGGACACUGCUAGAGGGCUGUCUGCUUAUUGCAAAUGCAUUUGCAAUAUUAAACGAAGAUCGUUUCCUUGCUCCUAGAGGUUGGAGCUUCCAGGAAUAUUCAGGGGUUAAGCGAAAUUCAUUCAAAGGCCAGAUUCUUGGUCUUAUUUAUGCAACCCAGUACUUGAGAGUUCCUCUUAUGCUCCUUAACAUUCUAUGUAUUGUUGUAAAGCUUGUAUCUGGAUGAUGAUGUUUGCAGUGAGGUCUAAUUGAAACAUGUUUUUCUAGCUUACUAUAUUAAUAUGGGAGUCAAGGCAGAUUUGGGGAAAUCCCUAUUCCUUUA